rnacentral:rRNA from 1 species
GACGAACGCUGGCGGUGUGCUUAACAUAUGCCAGUCGAACGGAAAGGCCCUGCUUUUGUGGGGUGCUCGAGUGGCGAACGGGUGAGUAACACGUGAGUAACCUGCCCUUGACUUUGGGAUAACUUCAGGAAACUGGGGCUAAUACCGGAUAGGAGCUCCUGCUGCAUGGUGGGGGUUGGAAAGUUUCGGCGGUUGGGGAUGGACUCGCGGCUUAUCAGCUUGUUGGUGGGGUAGUGGCUUACCAAGGCUUUGACGGGUAGCCGGCCUGAGAGGGUGACCGGCCACAUUGGGACUGAGAUACGGCCCAGACUCCUACGGGAGGCAGCAGUGGGGAAUAUUGCACAAUGGGCGGAAGCCUGAUGCAGCAACGCCGCGUGCGGGAUGACGGCCUUCGGGUUGUAAACCGCUUUCGCCUGUGACGAAGCGUGAGUGACGGUAAUGGGUAAAGAAGCACCGGCUAACUACGUG